rnacentral:rRNA from 1 species
GACAGAGGGUGCAAACGUUGUUCGGAAUUACUGGGCGUAAAGGGCUCGUAGGUGGCCAACUAAGUCAGACGUGAAAUCCCCAGGCUUAACCUGGGAACUGCGUCUGAUACUGGAUGGCUUGAAUUCGGGAGAGGGAUGCAGAAUUCCAGGUGUAGCGGUGAAAUGCGUAGAUAUCUGGAGGAAUACCGGUGGCGAAGGCGGCAUCCUGGACCGAGAUUGACACUGAUGAGCGAAAGCUAGGGGAGCAAACGGG